GUUACAGAUGAUCUUUGCAGGAAAGUUUCGAAAGAAUGGAAGGAAGGUAUAGUGGGUUAAAGAAUGAGCAAGAGAUAUGGAAGUAAAGGCAACAAAUCUAGGCUGCUAGCUGUCUUACAGAAGUAAUUACUUUCAUUGACUAAUGAUGAUUUCAAGGUAAUGCAGAGUGGAUGACAUGCUAACCAUUAUUUGCUCAAGGAAACACUUAAGAGAAAAGCACGUUUAUCUGUGAAUAGAUAUUUGCAUCUAUAUGGAUGCCAACCCGGGCAGGAUACCAGAUAUACUUACCCAUUUGCAAGACCUCAAGGAACACCAUAGCUUAACUUAUUCUGUGUAAAGGAGGCAUAUUCUCUUUGGAAUCACUCCACCAUCCUCUCAGUCCUUGGGUCUUCUGAGAGACG
rnacentral:lncRNA from 1 species